CAGCCGCCGCGGUAAUACAGAGGGUGCGAGCGUUAAUCGGAUUUACUGGGCGUAAAGCGUGCGUAGGCGGCUUCUUAAGUCGGAUGUGAAAUCCCUGAGCUUAACUUAGGAAUUGCAUUCGAUACUGGGAAGCUAGAGUAUGGGAGAGGAUGGUAGAAUUCCAGGUGUAGCGGUGAAAUGCGUAGAGAUCUGGAGGAAUACCGAUGGCGAAGGCAGCCAUCUGGCCUAAUACUGACGCUGAGGUACGAAAGCAUGGGGAGCAAACAGGAUUAGAUACCCGGGUAGUCCAUGUCUCUUAUAC
rnacentral:rRNA from 1 species